UGUUUGAGUGAAUUUCUCAUUUUCAUGUAGAAUACAAAGGAUAAUCCUCCUUGCAAUACCUUAUUUAUUGGAAAUCUUGGAGAGAAUAUAAACGAGGAAGAACUGAGAGGCCUUUUCAGCGCACAACCUGGUUUCAAGCAAAUGAAGAUCUUGAGACAAGAAAGGCAUACUGUUUGCUUUAUUGAGUUUGAGGAUGUGAAUAGUGCAACCAAUGUGCAUCACACUUUGCAGGGUGCUGUUAUCCCCAGUUCUGGUUCAGUUGGUAUGCGAAUUCAAUAUUCAAAGAAUCCAUUUGGGAAAAGAAAGGAUGGAAAUCACCCUGUUGCUUCACCUGGUGCUAAUGGAGCCCCGCCAGCUAUGACCUACCAGUAGCUUGAAGGGGAUGUAUACUGUUCUUUUAUCCUCCGACAAGUAUAUGAUAGGAUGCAUCCUGCAGCAGUUGCAUGCAUCCAUUUCAUUGUCAACAUCAGCAUUAGCAUUUCUUCAUGUGAUGGGUGCACAUAGUGAUCUCAUGAACAUACCAUGUGGUCAUGUUAUACCUAAUAGUUGUGACAUGCAUUCGUCAGCAUGUGUUUAUGCCUGGAUAACUUGGUAGCAAUUCAGAGAAUUUUAUCAUAUGUAGAAGUGCAUUAAUUAGUCUGCAGUUUUGUCAAAUUUGUUUACUUGCCCCUCACAUUGACCACAUUGCACAGAGCCAUGGUGCAUAUGUUAAGUAACGUGCUCUACUGCCUAAUGCCAUUUGAUUAUAUCUGAUUCAAACUGCAAACUGCUUCACACCCAAAGGUGAUGUGGUCCUACACUAGUAUUACGCAUUGCAUGACUUCUACUUAAUCCCAUUUGAAUAUCUGAUCUGAACCACAUCAACGGCUUCACAACGAUAGGUAAUGUCAUUGAAUCGUAGAAUUAAACAUUACAUGACUUCUAUAAAAAGAUCUUGUACAAUUUUGACAUCCCACAAGUAAGUUUUUUUGAGCUUCACUUCAAAGCAGAAUUGUUUUUGCUUAAUACCAUUUAUCAUGUUGUAUCUAAGGUACUAUCAUCAACGCUAUUAUUAUCAUCACUUAUAUUCUAGACAAUCAGGUAUCCUCACACAAAUUGUCUAUGGUUAACUCCAUAAAUCAUAUUGUAUCUACGGGUACCAUUACCAUUGCCAUUGUCACCAUCAUUUAUGUCAUAGGCAGAUUAAUUAUAUUCCUCCAGCACCAUGGGCAUUAGCACGAUCAAUUAUAUCCCUCCAGCACCACUGUCAUUGUCACCAUCACUUUUGUAGACUGAUUAAUUACAUCGCUGCAGAAACAUUCCAUUUUCACCAUGGCUUAUGUUGUAGAUUGCUUAAUAAUCCCACCAGCAGCAUAAGCCAAGAACUGAGUAUAUUCGAACACUUGACAGCAUCAUGGCAUAAAGAAUAUCAGGAAAUAUUUCCCGUGUUAUUCAUAUGCAGGAUAUUCCUAUAAAAUGAGGAAGCUUCCAUUUGUUUGAGGUCAAGUGCUGCAGCCAUAAUUUUUGCUUCUGCUAGGCUGGUGUUUUGAUCAAAACAUCCCUUCUGGAUGUCAGAUUGACAACCUAUAGGGUUAAUUGCUUGUUGUGGGAACUCUAGUGACCGAGGAAGAUGCCCAUUUUCUGCUCGAUUUUGUCAUCUCAGUCGUUCCACAGAUUACAGUUAAGUACGAACUGAAGUUCUAUGUUGACCUUGAUAUGUAUGGAAAGUCAAUGAGAUGAGAAAAGCCAUCUAGAAAGAAAAUGAUUUCUCACACUGAAGAAAAUUUCUUGACACUAGGCAGUUUACAUCUCCAAUUUGACAUCAGGAGUUGUUUACGCUUUGAAUGUUGAUGGAGAGUGAACAAUUUUCUGGUUAUGUUUCAGAAAUGUGGAGUGGGGUUCUGAACGGAAUUGGUGGAAAUUGGGAGGUGAAAGCGUUUAUUUUGGAUGGGUAAGACACCAAAGGGAGAAUUGUGGUUAUGAUGUUUCGAUUAAUGGAAGUGAUUUGAUAUUUGUUUCUUGUA